GCAAUACCUGCCUAACCCACUUUAGGUGUCUGACCUGUCCUUUCCGCAUUCUGGGGUCCAGACCAUGUCCUAGACGUUCCUGGUCCCCGAUUCCCUCCCGUUCAACUCCGUUCAGAUGCUCACCUGGCUGGAACACACCUAGCCCAGGCUGAGCUUGGUGGGUAGAUGGGCUCUCUGGUUUUAGCAGCUGACCUGUCUCAUCCCUCUGUCCCCAGUCUAGAGCCUCUGCACUCCCAUUGUCCUAGGUCUCGUAUUGGGCAGAGGGCUCGGCUUCUGACCCGCCCUGCUCACAGGUUCCUGGGCACCGAUUCCCACGACUCCUACUUCUCCAACGGGCAGAGGCAUCGUGUGGUGGCAGAGAUCCUGGCUCGCACAGUCUAUGGGAAGCAGGAACGAGAAGAGAUGGGCAUUGCCCAUCUGCUGGCCGAGGGAGUCUAUGCUGCAGCCUUCCCACUGCAUGAGGUAGAGAUGUCCCAAGCUCAGCUCUCUCCCACUGCUGGGGCAGCAGGAGAGAAUUCUGGGACUUCCCUGCAGCCCUCUCUCCUUUCAUUUCCCUAGGGCCCCUUUGAACUGCCGGGGUACCAGGUGCCUGGUGCAGACCUCAACCCUUGCCAAUUACUGUACUUAUACUGGGCCCACUGGGGAUACUGGCACAAUACCAGCCUCUGGACCACAUACAAGAGUACUUUGGGGAGGAGAUGGCCAUCUACCUUGCCUGGCUAGGGGAGCCUGGCACUGGGAGUGGGGGCUGGGAGCCGGUGUUGAGUACACAGAUGGGGGCUCAUGAGCUUUCUGUCACCCCUUCAGGCUUCUGCGCAGCCUGGCUGCUGCCUGCCACCCUUGUGGGCACCCUGGUCUUUAUCUGUGGUCUGGCCACCAUAGGCACCAACACACCAGCAUGAGUGGCUGUGUUGGGGGGGUUGGCAGAUGGGCUGGGUGGGGAUAGACUCUCCCAGGAUGGGCAUCCUUUGUUCAUAGGGAAGAGAUCUGUGCCAGUGGAGGUGCCUUCCUCAUGUGGCCACUCUGUGACACCUGUGCCACAUGGAAUAUUUCCGAUGAUAGAAGCUUUGGUGAGGUUAGACAUUGGGACCUUUGGAGUCUCAAAGAGAAGCCCUGCCUGGAAUGGGGAAGAAGGGGAGAAGCAUUCCACUCACCAACCCAGCCAGCCAGCUGCCUAUCCAUCCAAACGUCCAAUCAUUGAUUCUGUAUCUGUUUGGUUCCGUCUCCACUGUCACCCUCCAGCCCAAGCCAGCAUUCUCUCACCUGGACCACUGCAGUGGCCUCCCAACAGGUCUCCUUGCUCCUCUGUUUGCCCCACUUAAUCCGUUCUCAGCUGCCA
rnacentral:lncRNA from 1 species